UACGUAGGGUGCGAGCGUUGUCCGGAAUUAUUGGGCGUAAAGGGCUCGUAGGCGGUUUGUCGCGUCGGGGAGUGAAAACUCAGGGCUUAACCCUGAGCCUGCUUCCGAUACGGGCAGACUAGAGGUAUGCAGGGGGAGAACGGAAUUCCUGGUGUAGCGGUGAAAUGCGCAGAUAUCAGGAGGAACACCGGUGGCGAAGGCGGUUCUCUGGGCAUUACCUGACGCUGAGGAGCGAAAGUGUGGGGAGCGAACAGG
rnacentral:rRNA from 1 species